AAAACACGGUCCUCUCACAUUCCAUUGCGUAGCAAGGGGGGAUUUAGGGAUACUUAUUUCCUUAAAACUGUCCUCCCAUCCACAGAGCUCCCAGUCUGCUCUGAUCAAGUUGAUAUAACAAAAUUCAGCCAGGAUAUAGGGAAUACUAUACGAGGCGGACUAACCAAAGAUUUGGCCCUUAUAUAUUAUUACCAGAUGUAAUAAUAAUUCCUGGUGGUUUAUUUACAAAAAUAAGUUAAUAGCUUUAAAUAUCAGCCAUGUUAAGACAUGGUGUCGUGUCUGGAACACAUCGACAGAGAGAGAAGACCAUCCAUGCAGGAGUUUGGUGACAUCCGACUUCUUUCAGUGGAUGCAUUUUUACUGCACCCUUGAAUUGACUGGAGAACUCAGUCGGCCACAUGCACUUCAGGAGAAAAUCAACGCUAACUGUUUUUAUCUCUCAAAGACUUUGAUGAAUGGAAAUCGUCUUUUUUUUUUCUCUACCAAACUUCUGUUCCGGACUCAUCAUGUUUGCAUCUCGACUGGACCAAAGUUUUCCAACAUGUGAUCUAAUUUAUGACCGGGGUUUCUUCAGUCUACAGCCGUUCUCUGUCUGAGGGAUGGAUGGGGGCAUGGCAAGUUGUCAGGGCCUCUGCAACAAACACAUGGAUUCAAUUAAAUACACUCUCCUUCAGACCAUCAAUAUGAGGGAGCAAAGCCCAGACCCAUGGAAAUCCAACAAUGACAAAUAAUACAAGGAGAAAGAUACCUCUCACCAGACUUAUACUGAGUUUAUGUUCAUUAGCUUACUGUAUGAGCAAUGCCUCAAGUUUUGCUUUCGAAUGUAACUUAUGAUUGUUAGGAUUUUUUAUUCAUAUCUACUUUAUGUAAUAUCAAUAUGUAUUGUUGAUAUAUGUUGCUAAAAUUAUUAAUUAUAUUCAAUAUAUUUAAAAUCAUGUCCCUUGCAUUCCAACUCAGUGUUUGUGGUUUUCACCAAACUGGGAGACUGUAAUAUUAUGGCCGAUUUAUCCUCCAACCCCAGCAGUGUGAAAAUAAAGAUAUCUAUGUUGA